CAGGUGUGAGUCAUCAUGCUUGGCUGAGACCCCAUUUCAAAAAAAAAAAAAAGUUCACUACUUCUCCCAGUCUUGCCUAGUGUAGUAGAAGGAUCUCACGAAUCCAUCUGGCCAAAGAUUUAAGGUGCUUCUCUAAUCUUUGUGUUUGUCCAGAAUGCUGUCUCUGUUUUUGGUAACUCUCUGGAACUUAGGAUGUACUACAUUCUGUCAUUAUCCUAAGGCCAGAAGGUAGGAACCAGACUCUUUUGAUGUAGCUGGAAUGUGUUGAGGGUGUUGAAUGUGUUCCAGUUUCUUCCGUUUUCAUGAUGCAGCUGAGCAUGGGUAUUUAUCUCCUGCUGCCUGCAUUAAGUUAGUUAGAGAUCUGUGUCAAAUGCCUAAAGUCGGCCAGGCGCAGUGGCUCACACCUGUAAUCCCAGCACUUUGG
rnacentral:lncRNA from 1 species